rnacentral:rRNA from 1 species
AAUAAAGUUCUGGAUAAACAAUUGAUGAUGACAAAUAUUUAUCCAUAUGUCUUGACCAAUGCUUGUGCCAGCAGUCGCGGCAACACAAGUAAGGCUAGCGUUAUUCAUCUUCAUUAGGUUUAAAGCGUACCUAGACAGCAUUAUAAUAUUCAUUUGCUAGAGUUUUAUAUGGGAGGCAGAUAUUAGGAUUAUUGGUGUAAAGAUGAAAUUUUUUCAUACUAAUAGGAUGUGUAUUGGCGAAGGCAAACCUCUAUGUACAAACUGACGUUAAGGGACGAAGGCUUGGGUAGCGAAUAGGAUUAGAUACCCUAGUAGUCCAGGCAGAAAAUCAUGAAUGUUAUAUACUAAACUGAAAUUUGGUGUAUAAAUUAAAGUGUAAGCAUUCCACCUCAAGAGUAAUGUGGCAACAUAGGAACUGAAAUCAUUAGACCGUUUCUGAAACCAGUAGUGAAGUAUGUUAUUUAAUUCGAUGACCCUCGAAAAACCUUACCACAGUUUGAAUAAUACCGAUUCUAAAUCAGUGAUACAAGUGUUGCACGGCUGUCUAAAGCUAAUGUCGUGAGAUUUUGGUUAGAUCCAUUAAAUUAGCGUA